UCGGAUGUGGUGUACGGUGCACAUCAGCUGUGUAUACACAAUAAUGCAUCUGACAUGCAAGCUGAAAGCCAGGGUUCGACUCCCUGCAUCCGAG